GACGAACGCUGGCGGCGUGCUUAACACAUGCAAGUCGAACGGGUCUGCCCUGUUUUUUGCGGGGUGGGUCAGUGGCGAACGGGUGAGUAACACGUGAGUAACCUGCCCCUCACUUCUGGAUAACCGCUUGAAAGGGUGGCUAAUACGGGGUGUUCUGGCUGUGCCGCAUGGUGUGGCUGGGAAAGAUUCACCUUUGUGGUGUUUUGGUGGGGGAUGGGCUCGCGGCCUAUCAGCUUGUUGGUGGGGUGUUGGCCUGCCAAGGCUUUGACGGGUAGCCGGCCUGAGGGGGUGGGCGGUCGCGCGGGGACUGGGAUACGGCCCGGACGCCUGCGGGAGGAAGCUGUGGGGGGUAUUGGCAAAGGGGCGGAAGCCGGAUGCGGCGGCGUCGCGUGGGGGCGGAGGCCCUUGGGUUGUGAACCCCUUUCGGCGGUGAACAAGGUCCUGCUCUUUGUGGGGGGGUUGACGGGUACCGGGUUAUGAAGCGCCGGCUAACUACGUG
rnacentral:rRNA from 1 species